UCAGCUUGUUUCUAGCUGCGCUGAAUUUUGAAUCAUUUGUGAGGUAAAACAUUUUAAGGAGACUUCAAUGGGUCAUUUAUUUAAAUUACCCGUUGUUGUUGUUGUUUUGGUUUUGUGGAAUUGUCUCUUUAUUUGUUGUUGUUUUUCCAAGACUGAUUUUUUCUGUGUACCCAUGACUAUCAUAGAACUAACUCUGUAAACUAGGCUGGUCCAGAACUCUGUUUUUAACCUUUUACUGGUUUUAAAUAUUUUAUUACAUUUGUGUGUGUGUGUGUGUGUGUGUGUGUGUGUGUGUUUGUGUGUUUGGUGCAUGUCAGAGUAUAACUUGUAGGAGUCCAUUCUGUUUUUCCAUCAUGUUGAGUCUAGGAUUUAAUUCAAGUCACAACUUGAUUCAUUCUAAGUUGUAUAUAUUUAAGGACAUUCUGCUUCUUCAACACCAGUUGGUUGAAGAGUCUCCCCCUUGCUCUAUUAAGGUUGUUUUUGCUGUUGUUAUUUGGUUGAUUUUUUUUUUAAAUGUGCGUACUCAUUGAAAAUAGACUACAAAUGUAUAUUUUUGAGUUAUUUGUUUCAGCAGUCACUUUGGGUAUGAGCAUAAUAAACUUUUAUGAAAAUAGCUAUGCAAUAUUUUGAUAUUAGGUAUUGUAAUGACUCUAGUUUCCUUCUUUUGUUUUAAAUCAAAGUAUUUUGGAAGCUGAUUUUCUUGUCUUUCCAUAUGAAUUUAUAGAAUUUUUAAAAAAUGAAUGACUGUGACAAAUGCCAUUAGUAUUUUGAUUUUUUUGCUUUGAGUCUAUUAUGUGAACAUUUUAGCAGUGCUAACUUUUGCAAUCCUCAAACAUAAGAUUCAUUUGCAUACUGAUAUAUCCUCUUCAGUUGAACUCAUCUGUGUUUUACUACAGAGGCUCAAACUCUUUGAAGGGAAUAAUCAAAUUCAGUCAGGUUUCAAAAUAAAUAUAUAUAACCCACGAACAUUUUGUGUGCACUAAUAGUGAGUUUUUUAAAAGGUCAUUUGAAGUAUCUACAAUAUUAAAAUAUUUAUGACUAAAUUUAACCAUAGAGAUAAGUCCUUGAUUCUUCUCCUUUACAGUUAUUUAUGUGAGUUGAUGAUGUUUUAUAUUGAGAAUACCUGGGUAUCUUUUUAGUGUCUUCCCCAUUGGUAGUGUAUUGAUUUUAUGUUUCACAUGUGAUCAUGGUGGUAGAUCUAUCAUCCUGUGCACAGGUCCAGUGGAGUUAGCAAAGCACCUCUGCAUAUUCUUUUACUGUGAUCACUGUUGAAAACUCUUCCGCACAUUCCAUUUGAAAGCAGGGGUUUAUGGACAUUUUCCUUAACAGGGCACCUGUACCUCUAACUAAUGUGAACCCAGCUUCAGAGCCAGAGACUCCUUUAAUUUUCUCAGUGUCUACUAGGGAGGGGCUGCUCUGCUUGGCCCAGAUAGCUUUCUCAGCUUGUGUGGCAGGAUUAAGGAGAUACCUGUCACUUUCUGAAGGCCUUCGUGGAGUUAGGACAACUCUGUGAGGUCUGAGCAAGAUGUGAAACACUUGUCAGUGUUGGAGUGUUGUAUGGGCCGGAAUGUAUCAGAUGGCACAACCGAGAAAUUCAUCAGUAGCUGAAGGCUGUGUCGGUAUCUUUGCAAGGACUUAUAGAUAGACUUGCUCUGAGUGGCUUUCCAUGUCUAAUGCUUGGUAGAUACAUACGCAUAUAAAUAUAGCACUCCAUACAGACAGAUAUACCAAUAUCUAACUUUUUUUGGAUUAAAAUCCUAGAACAUCAAAACUGUGGUUUUAGAAAAUUUAAACAUGGUGGAGUAACCCUGAGUUCUGUGCCUAAUCUUUUUUGGCCUUGGAACAUGUCUGGCACUUUCAUAUUCUGUUUGCUAGUACACUUAGGGGACCAAUUUUGAUAUUGGGAUGUUUCAUUUUUAAUUCUUGCCUUUUAAAAAAUAAUUAAUAUUUCAUAUUUUACCUUCAAAGUUAAUGCAGUAAACAAAUCUUCUCAUGUGUCUUGGACCAUGUUUUAAAAAUUGUAUCAAUAGACUAAAGAGCCAAAAAUUAAAAUUUAUGGUGCUAAAGUAUACUUGUCUGCUCACACUUCAGAGAGGCAAGAACUUCCUUGUUAAAUGUCUGCUGUACAGCCUGGGAUCUUGGUGUGCUAAUCUGGUGAGCAAAUCAGAAAAACCUCAAAAGAUGCUUGCUAAGUGGUCUUUGUGAGGAAGAGAGGCCACAGCUGGUCAAGAACUAAUUACAUCCUAUUUGUAUUAUGUUAAAAUGCAAUAAGCGUGCUCUUCCCUGUAGUUCUAUAGUACCAGCUGGUGAGCCUUGAAAACUAAUAUACAAAUAAUAUUAUAUGGACUGAACAAGUAGUAUGUUUGUCUUUAGGAAUAUAUAUGUAUAUUCCAUACAUUUAUAUAUAUGAACAAUUAAUACAAGAAAGACUGUGAAUGUAAAAUAGAGCAUAGAAGGUUAUGUGGGAGAUUUAGGGGGAAGCAAAGGAAAGAGAAAAUGGUGUAAUUAUAAUGGAAAAGUGAAAAUAUAAUUUAUAAUGCAAUGGAGGACAGAAGCAGAAUAGAGUGGAUUUCUUCUUUAUUUGAGGCUGUGUACAAAUGUGUUCUAUGCAUCCAGCCUGGUUUUACUUUCAGGUUCAUAUGUGAUUGCUCCCAUGUACUCCACUGGUAUUGUCUGCCCAUAAAUGCUUUCUACCAUGCUGGAAAAGAACUUUAAAAUGACAGGACUUCCCCCAAAAUAAAGCAUUAUAGAUAGAUAGAUAGAUAGAUAGAUAGAUAGAUAGAAAAGGGAAAGGCAAAAUUCUGAAAAAAUGUAGGCAAGCCCAGUGAGGUUGUAAUGCUUACCUUUAAACUGGUUUGGGCUCUAAUUUUUCAAAUCAAAUCAUAAGAAACAAAUGAGAUAAUGCUUGGGAAGCCCUAGAACUUGGUACACAGUAAGUUCUGACCCUUUUGACACUGUUAGGAAAAAGAUACAGAGGAUUUCUAACAUAAAUAGGGUCAACAUGGACAAAGGCACCAUGACACCAAAUAUUUGUUGGUUUCAUUUCUACAUUAUUAUCUUUCUAGUCAUUGUGAGAUGAAGUCUCAUGGAUCAUGGAUGCCUGGGGAUUUUAUUAUCCAAGCGAAGAGUGGGGGUUGGUAGGCAGGCAGGCUCUGGAAAUU
rnacentral:lncRNA from 1 species